rnacentral:tRNA from 1 species
GGCCUGAUAGCUCAACUGGUGGAGCACUGCACUGGCAUUGCAGAGGUCAGGGUUCAAGUCUCAUUCAGGCCU